rnacentral:tRNA from 2 species
AAUAAGAUGCCUGAUAAAAAGGACUAUUUUGAUAGAAUAGAUCAUGUACAAAUAAUACUCUUAUUA